rnacentral:rRNA from 1 species
UACGGAGGGGACUAGCGUUGUUCGGAAUUACUGGGCGUAAAGCGCACGUAGGCGGAUUUGUAAGUCAGGGGUGAAAUCCCGGGGCUCAACCUCGGAACUGCCUUUGAUACUGCAAAUCUCGAGUCCGGAAGAGGUGAGUGGAAUUCCUAGUGUAGAGGUGAAAUUCGUAGAGAUUAGGAAGAACACCAGUGGCGAAGGCGGCUCACUGGUCCGGUUCUGACGCUGAGGUGCGAAAGAGUGGGGAGCAAACAGG